rnacentral:rRNA from 1 species
UUGAUCUCAAAUCAAACAAGACUACCCGCUGAACUUAAGCAUAUCAAUAAGCGGAGGA